GACGCUGUAAUCUUUCAAGUUCAAUACAAGGAAGUUGACAUUAAGACAACGAAACUCAUUUUAAGUUGCAUUACGUUGUUGCACACUAUAAAAACAACGUGUUCCAUUCACAUUUAAAAAGCAAAUGAAAACUUUACUUCAUGCCCACAUCAAAAACCACAGACUGUUCAAAGUUGGAGGAUAUUUAGGAAGCAAUAAACGUUUCCUAAAAUACCCUUACAUUUCUAAAACAGUGGAUGAAAGAAAAAGAAGAACUACCCAGAAACAUAACACAAAGGGAAAUUAAAUACGUAGGGUUCGACUGCUAAACCAUUACUUUGUUUAGAAAACAGCGAAAUGAACAAGACAGCACUUCUGCUUCUCAUCGGACUCCUCGUAGUUGUCGAAACUACCAAUGCUGCGUUUUAGUCAAAGCAACCUCUUCGUCGUCGUGAUCGUCGUCGUAGUGCCUAUACUUAGGUCUCAUGGUCGUUCUUCCAGGUACAACGAACCAGCUAUGCAGAAAUAUGAAGACAUAGACGAUGACGUCACUGGCAAACGUAGCUACUUUUAGCUUAAUGGUUUCUGUAUCAAACAAACUAUUGUAAAAAUACAGUGUCGAAAUUGUAAUAAAGUAAAGGCAAUUUACUUGA